rnacentral:rRNA from 1 species
UUCCUACGGGGGGCAGCAGUGAGGAAUAUUGGUCAAUGGCCGGAAGGCUGAACCAGCCAAGCCGCGUGAAGGACGAAGGUGCCAAGCAUUGUAAACUUCCUUGGCCCAGGGACACCCUUCGGCUCGAGAGCCUGACCGAGGGUACUUGAAGAAAAAGCAUCGGCUAACUCCGUGCCAGCAGCCGCGGUAAUACGGAGGAUGCGAGCGUUAUCUCGAUUUAUUGGGUUUAAAGGGUGCGUACUGCGACUGUUAAGUCAGCGGUAAAAGCCCGGGGCUCAACACCGGCGAGCGCUUGCAACUGGCUG